UACGUAGGGUGCAAGCGUUGUCCGGAAUUAUUGGGCGUAAAGAGCUCGUAGGCGGUUUGUCGCGUCGGCUGUGAAAACUCGGGGCUCAACCCCGAGCCUGCAGUCGAUACGGGCAAACUAGGAGUGUGUGAGGGAGACGUGAAUUCCUGGUGUAGCGGUGAAAUGCGCAGAUAUCAGGAGGAACACCGGCGGCGAAGGCGGGUCUCUGGGCAGUUACUGACGCUGAGGAGCGAAAGCAUGGGGAGCGAACAGG
rnacentral:rRNA from 1 species